rnacentral:sRNA from 1 species
UUUUAAUUUAUAUUCUUUAACUAAUUUAAGCUACCUAAUAUAUUUGCUAAUCUUAUACCUAUCAAAACCGACUAUCAUUUCUUAUCUUUAUAGCAUUUUUGCAAGACUUUUUUGGUGGAUUUGGGUAAAAGUGCAUUCGGGUCAUAUGGUACAUUCCCCUAUUAAAUAAAUAUGGUGCACUCCUAUGUUAUUAGCUAAAAUGUUUAGAUUAUAAUUCAGAGUCAUAUCAUAAAUAAAAUUAAUAUUAAUAAAAUAAAUGGCUUUUUGGCAAGACGAAUUUGGAGGGACGGGUUUUUGAAUCAACAUUAAUAAAAAAGUAAAAUAUAUUAAUCCACCGUUUUAAUACGGGUUAAAUCUUUAAUUUAUUAUUUUUAAGACCAUUAAUAUUAAACAUAUCAAAUCAUCCUAAUUUAGAAAA